AUGAAAUGCCAUAUAGCCAUGGACAGCAUCUCGAGGCCCAGUUUUUCCAGGGCAGGCAAAGUCAUGUUGAUCUCUAAGUGGGUUGAGCAGGACGCGAGAGCCGGAGUUUCUGCGGGAGCCGCGGUUUUUGCGGGAGCCGAGGUUCAUGUGGGAGCCGAGGUUCAUGCGGGAGCCGAGGUUUUGCGGGAACCGAGGUUCUUGCGGGAGCCGAGGUUCCUGCGGGUGCCGAGGUUCAUGUGGGAGCCGAGGUUUUGCGGGAGCCGAGGUUCAUGCGGGAGCCGAGGUUUUGCGGGAACCGAGGUUCUUGCGGGAGCCGAGGUUCCUGCGGGUGCCGAGGUUUUGCGGGAGCCGAGGUUCCUGCGGGAGCGGGUGCUGCAGGGCCAGGCGCGGCCGGCAGGUGGCAGCACGGGGAAACAAGGCCCGCGGGCAGGGCUGGACCGCGCCGGGGAUCCGGGGGUCAGAGAAGGGUUCAAUGUGAAAACCACUGCAUGCGCUUUCAGCACUGCACUCACGGUCCAGCUCUGGCCCUUGGAAGGGCGUCGCUCACUGCGGAGCUGCUGCAGCACCCGAGGUCUGAACCCAUGGAUUCAGCAUGGAGAGCCCUCAUGUCCAGCAGCCAGGUGGAGCAGACUGCUGGGAAAAGGGACUUCGGUGUGUGACAGCGAGAUUCACCAGUGCCCCUUCCACCACUGCAUAUCAGCCUGGAUGUAA
rnacentral:lncRNA from 1 species